UAAAUUCGCUGGUUCCAUUUUUUGCGGUUUUCGAGUCGUUAUACAAAGAAAAACACAUUAAUUCAACACGCAAGAAAGUCCAGAGUGUGACACAACGUAAAAUCCGCAGGAAAUUGGCACAAUUCUUUAAAAAUUCAACGAAACUGUGUAAAAUGUAUAUAGAUCACUCAGUGAAAAGUCGCCUUUUUGAAUCUGAACUAAAAAUGUCACUGGAGCUCUACUCUUG